UACGUAGGUGGCAAGCGUUGUCCGGAUUUACUGGGCGUAAAGGGCGCGUAGGCGGCCUACUAAGUCAGACGUGAAAUCCCCCGGCUUAACCUGGGAACUGCGUCUGAUACUGGAAGGCUUGAGGAUGGGAGAGGGAUGUAGAAUUCCAGGUGUAGCGGUGAAAUGCGUAGAUAUCUGGAGGAAUACCGGUGGCGAAGGCGGCAUCCUGGACCAUUACUGACGCUGAGGCGCGAAAGGCUAGGGGAGCAAACGGGAUUAGAUACCCGUU
rnacentral:rRNA from 1 species